AGUGAACGCUGGCGGUAGGCCUAACACAUGCGAGUCGAACGGCAGCACAGUAAGAGCUUGCUCUUACGGGUGGCGAGUGGCGGACGGGUGAGGAAUACGUCGGAAUCUACUUUUUCGUGGGGGAUAACGUAGGGAAACUUACGCUAAUACCGCAUACGACCUACGGGUGAAAGCAGGGGAUCUUCGGACCUUGCGCGAUUGAAUGAGCCGAUGUCGGAUUAGCUAGUUGGCGGGGUAAAGGCCCACCAAGGCGACGAUCCGUAGCUGGUCUGAGAGGAUGAUCAGCCACACUGGAACUGAGACACGGUCCAGACUCCUACGGGAGGCAGCAGUGGGGAAUAUUGGACAAUGGGCGCAAGCCUGAUCCAGCCAUACCGCGUGGGUGAAGAAGGCCUUCGGGUUGUAAAGCCCUUUUGUUGGGAAAGAAAAGCAGCAGGUUAAUACCCCGCUGUUCUGACGGUACCCAAAGAAUAAGCACCGGCUAACUUCGUG
rnacentral:rRNA from 1 species